rnacentral:rRNA from 1 species
GACGAACGCUGGCGGCGUGCCUAAUACAUGCCAGUCGAACGCACAGUUUAUACUGUAGCUUGCUACACCAUAGACUGUGAGUUGCGAACGGGUGAGUAACGCGUAGGUAACCUGCCUGGUAGCGGGUGAUAACUAUUGGAAACGAUAGCUAAUACCGCAUAAUAUUAAUUAUUGCAUGAUAAUUAAUUGAAAGGUUCAAUUGCACCACUACCAGAUGGACCUGCGUUGUAUUAGCUAGUAGGUGAGGUAACGGCUCACCUAGGCGACGAUACAUAGCCGACAUGAGAGGGUGAUCGGCCACACUGGGACUGAGACACGGCCCAGACUGCUACGGGAGGACGCAGCAGGGAAGCUUCGGCAAUGGACGAAAGUCUGAACGAGCAACGCCGCGUGAGUGAAGAAGGGUGUCGGAUCGGAAAGCUCUGUUGUAAGAGAAGAACGGGUGUGAGAGUGGAAAGUUCACACUGUGACGGUAUCUGAACAGAAAGGGACGGCUAACUACGUG